GGGACCCAGAGGCCUCCUUGGUCCCAAAGGCCCCCCCGGCAUCCCCGGCCCCCCGGGCGUCCGUGGCAUGGAUGGCCCCGUGGGGCCCAAAGGGAACGUGGGACCUCAAGGGGAACC